GCGCCAUUAGCUUAAUGGUAAGAGUAGAUGUCUUAUACACAUCUGGUCUAGGUUCGAUUCCUAGAUGGCGUACAA
rnacentral:tRNA from 1 species